rnacentral:lncRNA from 1 species
GUUGGUCACACAGGGGGUCCUGUGCCCAAUGCAGUGGACUCUUGGGCCUUAGAAUGAAGUUCUGAUCCACACGGCAGCACCGACGGACCUUGGGCACUGUGCUGUGUGAAAUAAGCAGACAGAUGCUGUGUGGCAGCACUUACAGGGGCAUCCUGAGCGACUUUGUGGAGACAGCUCUUAGGGCUGGGGAGGGAGGGAUGCGGGAAGGGGGCGGGAGCUGGAGGGUGGAGGGCUCUUUCUGAGAUGAGGAAAUGAUCUAAAACUGCCUGCGGUGACGGCUGCACAGCUCUGAAGAUGCAGAAACUCGCUGAGCUGGACGCAUUCUGAAUUGUGUGGUAUGUGAAUUAUGUCUCAGUAAAGCCAUUAAAAAAAAACACCCAGGAGCCAGGCGCAGUGGCUCAUGCCUAUAAUCCCAGCACUUUGGGAGGCGGAGGCAGGCGGAUCAUCUGAGGUCAGGAGUUGGAGACCAGCCUGACCAACAUGGUGUAACCUCGUCUCUGCUAAAAUACAAAAAUUAGCUGGGUGUUGUGGCGGGCACCUUUAAUCCUGGCUACUUGGGAGGCUGAGGCAGGAGAAUUGCUUGAACCUGGGAACGGGAGGUUGCAGUGAGCCAAGAUCGCGCCAUUGCACUCCAGCCUGGGCGACAGAGCGAGACUCCGUCUCAAAAAAACAAAACAAAACAAAACAGCCAGGCAACCAAGUAGACAAUGGAGGGAGGGGGUGACAGCUGAGGACGCCCAUUGUCUGCUGGUGCUCCAGGCGGUGCUCCCCACUCCCAGCCCAGUCGCCCCCUGCUCCUGGCCUGGAUUUGAGGCCUAGAGAGACACCUGCCCUCCCCCGGAUCCGUGCCCCGCAGAAGUGCAGUCUUGGUGCCCAAAUGUGCGCCCGCUGGGGCAGAGGAGAAUCCGCGGGGCCUGAAGCAGAAUCGCGCCCUCCCCCCAACCUGCCGGCUGCCCGGGCGCUCCCCAUGGGCCCAGACGCAGGAGACAAAGGAGAACAUGGGGGUUCAGGCAUCUAAGCCGGGCACAUUGGCCCAAGCCUGUAAUCCCAGCACUUUGGGAGGCCGAGGCAGGCGGAUCACUUAAGCUCAGGAGUUCGAAACCAGCCUGGCCAAGAUGGUGAAACCCCAUCUCUACUAAAAAUACAAAAGAUUAGCCGGCUGUGAUGACGCGCACCUGUAAUCUCAGCUACUCGGGAGGCUGAGGCACGAGAAUCGCUUGCACCCAGGAGGUGGAGGCUGCAGUGAGCCGAGAUCACGCCAGGGCACUCCGGCCUGGGCGACAGAGUGAGACUUCGUCUCAAGAAAAACCAAAAAUCCAAAAGAACUACAGGCAUCGGCUGUGUCCCCACUAGGAAGCCGGAGGGGAGCAGGGCUGGGUGUGUCUUCUCUGGCUGCGUCCCUGCGGCCACAAGGCCUGUUCUUCCUCUGUGCCCCGCCUGCCAAGGACCCAGCCUUGUGAAGGAUGGAUGAAUGAAUCAUUGAGCAAAUGAAUGAGUGUGUGAACAGGGAGAGUCUGCAGCAGGGAGACCCCGGCAGCUUCGAGUAUGGAGGGGAGACUCUGGCCGCCUGAGAGCUGGCUGCCAGGUGCUGAGCCGCCCCAAGAAAAAGCCCUCGUGGCAAGAAACUGAGGCCUCCAGCCAGCAGUCAGGGACCCGAGGCCUGAGACGGUGGAGGGUGAGCUUGCAAAGGGACCCCACAGUCGGGCCUUGAGAGGCCCACGGGCCUGGCCCACACCUCGGCUGCAGCCUUGUGAAGGUCCCUGAGCAGGGGACCCAGACUUCUGUCCUACAGAAACUUGGAGAUAAUAAAUGCCUGCUCUUCUACGGCACUGAGUGUCGGGUGAUUUGUUACGGGCAGUAGACAGCUAAUACCUGCCCCUUAGGACACCAAGUCCUCGCCUCCUGGAGGCCCAAGCCCCAGGGAGCCAUGCCUGACUUGCCGCCUGUCGAUGGGCCACGCGUUCCUUGUUGAUGCCAUUCUGGGGUCCCCUCACCCUGACAUACUAGGAGCCAGUUCCGAGGGAGGCUCUUCUGCCACCAACCCUGGCCCAGGGGGACACUGAGCUCCUUGAUGCUGAGGGCCGGUGGUUCCUUAUCGCCUGGCGACCAGCGUGUCCUCCGGGUCCUUUUCCAAUACCAGCACCUCCCAGCUCAAAAACACAACCCAGCACUCCUGUUCCUCCGUCUCCCGGCCCUCCCUCGACACUGGGCCGAGGCAGCCUGUGCACCUGCCCCAAGCUCCCAGGAGCUGACCCAGCAGCGGAUUCGGCCUGGUUCCCGGCAUCCUUACCGGGAUUUGGAAAAUGCUCCUUUCAAUCAAUAAAGGCCCCACGCGGGCCUUCUUCCGCCCUCCCCUCCAGCAUCCUCCAUCUCCAUUUCCACCCGUCCUCCCCGUCCUGCCAGGCCGCAGCUCCUUGCAGAAUAACCCACACCCUCCAGUCGCAGGGACAGAACACCCUAGUUACUGGCCUAGAAUUUUGCGGGGGACGAGGACAGGCAGACCCUAAGGAGGACACUCGCCUCAGGUGAGACCUUUGCAAGGUCCCGGCAGUGGGAGCCACUCCCGCCACUGCGGAGGGAACAGAGGGCAGGGAUCUAAGAGGCUUCUACCCAAAUACCGCAUCCAGGUCAUAGCGUCCCACCCCCCGCUGCCACCGGGGCCCUGACUUCAACACGGGAGGCAGACCAGACGCCACCGCCCUGGGAUCAGAGCUUGGGCCCGAGGGUUGGCCCCGUCUGCACUCUGGCUUUCGGAAUGAGGCUCGCUGUCAAUGCUGUGGUGGAGCUGCAUUCGUUUCCGGGGCUUCUAUAACAAGGUGCCAUAGAACAGGGCUCCAACAGCAGCCCAUUCUCCCACUGUCCUGGAGGCUGGAAGUUCGAGACCAAGGUGCCUGCAGAGUUGGUUCCUCCUGAGGCCUUUCUCCCUGGCUUGUAGAUGGCCCUCUUCUCCUGACUCCUCACACAGAGUCAUCCCUCUGUGUGUAUCUGUGUCCUAGUCUCUCUUCUUUUUCUUUUCGCUUCUUCUUUUUUUUUUUUUGAAGACAGGGUCUCUCUCUCUCUGUCACCCAGGCUGGAGUGCAGUGGUGUUAUCAUAGCUCACUGCAGCCUAGACCUCCCAGGCUCAGGUGAUGCUCCUACCUCAGCCUCCCAAGUAGCUGGGACCACAGACAUGUGUCACCACACCCGACUAAUUUUUUAUAUUUUGUUGUAGAGAUGGGGUCUCACUAUGUUGCCCAGGCUCAACUGGCUUUAAGCCAUCCUCCCACCUCGACCUUCCAAAGUGUUGGGAUUACAGGUGUGAGCCACUGAGCCUGGCCCUUAUCUCUUUUUCUCAGGACACGACUCAGGCCGGGCGUGGUGGCUCAUGCCUAUAAUCCCAGCACAUUGGGAGGCCAAGACGGGCGGAUCACCUGAGGUCAGGAGUUCCAGACCAGCCUGGUCAGCAUGGUGAAACCCCGUCUCUACUAAAAAUAUAAAAAUUAGCCAGGUGUGGUGGCCAGCGCCUGUAAUCCCAGCUACUCGGGAGGCUGAGGCAGGAGAAUCGCUUGAACCCAGGAGGCGGAGGUUGCAGUGAGCCAAGAUCGCACCAUUGCACUCUAGCCUGGGUGACAGAGUGGGACUCCGUCUCAAAAAAUAAAAAAAGUGGGGGAUGGGGGUGGGGGUGGGGGUGGGCCAGGCGCGGUGGCUCACGCCUGUAAUCCCAUCACUUUGGGAGGCCGAGACGGGUGGAUCACCUGAGGUCAGAAGUUCGAGACCAGCCUGACCAACAUGGGGAAACUUCAUCUCUACUAAAAAAUACAAAAAUUAGCCGGGUGUGGUGGUGGGUGCCUGUAAUCCCAGGUGCUCAGGAGGCGAAGCAGAAGAAUCACUUGAACCCAAGAGGUGGAGGUUGCAGUGAGCCAAGCUCGUGACACUGCACUCCAGACUGGGUGACAGAGCAAGACUUCAUUUCAAAGGAAAAAAAAAACAAGGCCAGCGGUCAUGUGGGAACAGGACUCGCUGUAAUCCCCUCUUUAAAGGCCAUAUCUGUAAAUACAG